rnacentral:rRNA from 1 species
GACGAACGCUGGCGGCGUGCUUAACACAUGCAAGUCGAACGGAAAGGCCCAGCUUGCUGGGUACUCGAGUGGCGAACGGGUGAGUAACACGUGGGAGAUCUGCCCUGCACUCUGGGAUAAGCCUGGGAAACUGGGUCUAAUACCGGAUAUGAUCAACUGUCGCAUGGUGGUUGGUGGAAAGCUUUUGCGGUGUGGGAUGGGCCCGCGGCCUAUCAGCUUGUUGGUGGGGUAAUGGCCUACCAAGGCGACGACGGGUAGCCGACCUGAGAGGGGGGUCGGCCACACUGGGACUGAGACACGGCCCAGACUCCUACGGGGGGCAGCAGUGGGGAAUAUUGCACAAUGGGCGCAAGCCUGAUGCAGCGACGCCGCGUGAGGGAUGACGGCCUUCGGGUUGUAAACCUCUUUCACCAGGGACGAAGCGUGAGUGACGGUACCUGGAGAAGAAGCACCGGCCAACUACGUGCCAGCCGCCGCGGUAA